rnacentral:sRNA from 1 species
GUUUUUCCUGUGUUGUUCAAACAUUUUUGAAAUGUAUUCUUAGUUGUUCAAACAUUUUGUUAGACAUUUGGUAACGAUUGCUUGUACGUGGAGAGAGCAUCUGGGGUUCUUCCAUCAUCAGUGGCCAAGGGAGAGAAACUUUUGGAAAGCAUUGGUGGCAUAUUCUCUAGAAUUUGAAAACCGAUAAUAAUGGUGCAAUAACUUUAAUUUCUUGCCCUGUUGU